GCGAACGCUGGCGGCAGGCUUAACACCUGCAAGUCGCGCGGGCAUCCUUGUGGUGUCAGCGGCAGACGGGUGAGUAACGCGUGGGAACGUGCCCUUCGGUUCGGAAUAACUCAGGGAAACUUGAGCUAAUACCGGAUACGUGCGAGAGCAGAAAGGUUUAUCUGCCGAAGGAUCGGCCCGCGUCUGAUUAGCUAGUUGGUGAGGUUACGGCUCACCAAGGCGACGAUCAGUAGCUGGUCUGAGAGGAUGAUCAGCCACACUGGGACUGAGACACGGCCCAGACUCCUGGGGGCGACACCAGGGGGGAACUUGCGGCAAUGGGCGGCAGCCUUAAGGUGUAACGCAGCGUGGUGGGAGAAGGCACACGGGUCGUGAACGGUGUUGCACGGCGAAGAAGCCAUGACGGGAGCGGCGGAAUAAGCAGCGGGUAAAUCUGUG
rnacentral:rRNA from 1 species